UGGGGAAUAUUGCACAAUGGGCGCAAGCCUGAUGCAGCCAUGCCGCGUGUAUGAAGAAGGCCUUCGGGUUGUAAAGUACUUUCAGCGGGGAGGAAGGGAGUAAAGUUAAUACCUUUGCUCAUUGACGUUACCCGCAGAAGAAGCACCGGCUAACUCCGUGCCAGCAGCCGUGGUAAUACGGAGGGUGCAAGCGUUAAUCGGAAUUACUGGGCGUAAAGCGCACGCAGGCGGUCUGUCAAGUCGGAUGUGAAAUCCCCGGGCUCAACCUGGGAACUGCAUUCGAAACUGGCAGGCUAGAGUCUUGUAGAGGGGGGUAGGAUUCCAGGUGUGGCGGUGAAAAGCGUAGAGAACUGGAGGAAUACCGGUGGCGAAAGCGGCCCCCUGGACAAAGACUGACGCUCAGGUGCGAAAGCGUGGGGAGCAAACAGG
rnacentral:rRNA from 1 species